rnacentral:rRNA from 1 species
UUAAGCGACUAAGCGUACACGGUGGAUGCCCUGGCAGUCAGAGGCGAUGAAGGACGUGCUAAUCUGCGAAAAGCGUCGGUAAGGUGAUAUGAACCGUUAUAGCCGGCGAUGUCCGAAUGGGGAAACCCAGUGCAAUUCGUUGCACUAUCGUUAACUGAAUACAUAGGUUAACGAGGCGAACCGGGGGAACUGAAACAUCUAAGUACCCCGAGGAAAAGAAAUCAACCGAGAUUCCCCCAGUAGCGGCGAGCGAACGGGGAGCAGCCCAGAGUCUGAAUCAGCUUGUGUGUUAGUGGAACGGUCUGGAAAGUCCGACGGUACAGGGUGAUAGUCCCGUACACCAAAAUGCACAGGUUGUGAACUCGAAGAGUAGGGCGGGACACGUGGUAUCCUGUCUGAAUAUGGGGGGACCAUCCUCCAAGGCUAAAUACUCCUGACUGACCGAUAGUGAACCAGUACCGUGAGGGAAAGGCGAAAAGAACCCCGGCGAGGGGAGUGAAAAAGAACCUGAAACCGUGUACGUACAAGCAGUGGGAGCACCUUCGGGUGUGACUGCGUACCUUUUGUAUAAUGGGUCAGCGACUUAUAUUCUGUAGCAAGGUUAACCGUAUAGGGGAGCCGCAGGGAAACCGAGUCUUAACUGGGCGUUAAGUUGCAGGGUAUAGACCCGAAACCCGGUGAUCUAGCCAUGGGCAGGUUGAAGGUUGGGUAACACUAACUGGAGGACCGAACCGACUAAUGUUGAAAAAUUAGCGGAUGACUUGUGGCUGGGGGUGAAAGGCCAAUCAAACCGGGAGAUAGCUGGUUCUCCCCGAAAGCUAUUUAGGUAGCGCCUCGUGAACUCAUCUUCGGGGGUAGAGCACUGUUUCGGCUAGGGGGUCAUCCCGACUUACCAACCCGAUGCAAACUACGAAUACCGAAGAAUGUUAUCACGGGAGACACACGGCGGGUGCUAACGUCCGUCGUGAAGAGGGAAACAACCCAGACCGCCAGCUAAGGUCCCAAAGUCAUGGUUAAGUGGGAAACGAUGUGGGAAGGCACAGACAGCCAGGAUGUUGGCUUAGAAGCAGCCAUCAUUUAAAGAAAGCGUAAUAGCUCACUGGUCGAGUCGGCCUGCGCGGAAGAUGUAACGGGGCUAAACCAUGCACCGAAGCUGCGGCAGCGACACUAUGUGUUGUUGGGUAGGGGAGCGUUCUGUAAGCCUGCGAAGGUGACCUGUGAGGGUUGCUGGAGGUAUCAGAAGUGCGAAUGCUGACAUAAGUAACGAUAAAGCGGGUGAAAAGCCCGCUCGCCGGAAGACCAAGGGUUCCUGUCCAACGUUAAUCGGGGCAGGGUGAGUCGACCCCUAAGGCGAGGCCGAAAGGCGUAGUCGAUGGGAAACAGGUUAAUAUUCCUGUACUUGGUGUUACUGCGAAGGGGGGACGGAGAAGGCUAUGUUAGCCGGGCGACGGUUGUCCCGGUUUAAGCAUGUAGGCUGGUUAUCCAGGCAAAUCCGGAUAAUCAAGGCUGAGGUGUGAUGACGAGGCACUACGGUGCUGAAGUAACAAAUGCCCUGCUUCCAGGAAAAGCCUCUAAGCAUCAGGUAACAUCAAAUCGUACCCCAAACCGACACAGGUGGUCAGGUAGAGAAUACCAAGGCGCUUGAGAGAACUCGGGUGAAGGAACUAGGCAAAAUGGUGCCGUAACUUCGGGAGAAGGCACGCUGGUGUGUAGGUGAAGUCCCUGCGGAUGGAGCUGAGACCAGUCGAAGAUACCAGCUGGCUGCAACUGUUUAUUAAAAACACAGCACUGUGCAAACACGAAAGUGGACGUAUACGGUGUGACGCCUGCCCGGUGCCGGAAGGUUAAUUGAUGGGGUUAUCCGUAAGGAGAAGCUCUUGAUCGAAGCCCCGGUAAACGGCGGCCGUAACUAUAACGGUCCUAAGGUAGCGAAAUUCCUUGUCGGGUAAGUUCCGACCUGCACGAAUGGCGUAAUGAUGGCCAGGCUGUCUCCACCCGAGACUCAGUGAAAUUGAACUCGCUGUGAAGAUGCAGUGUACCCGCGGCAAGACGGAAAGACCCCGUGAACCUUUACUAUAGCUUGACACUGAACAUUGAGCCUUGAUGUGUAGGAUAGGUGGGAGGCUUUGAAGCGUGGACGCCAGUCUGCGUGGAGCCAACCUUGAAAUACCACCCUUUAAUGUUUGAUGUUCUAACGUUGGCCCCUUACCGGGGUUGCGGACAGUGUCUGGUGGGUAGUUUGACUGGGGCGGUCUCCUCCCAAAGCGUAACGGAGGAGCACGAAGGUUAGCUAAUCCUGGUCGGACAUCAGGAGGUUAGUGCAAUGGCAUAAGCUAGCUUGACUGCGAGCGUGACGGCGCGAGCAGGUGCGAAAGCAGGUCAUAGUGAUCCGGUGGUUCUGAAUGGAAGGGCCAUCGCUCAACGGAUAAAAGGUACUCCGGGGAUAACAGGCUGAUACCGCCCAAGAGUUCAUAUCGACGGCGGUGUUUGGCACCUCGAUGUCGGCUCAUCACAUCCUGGGGCUGAAGUAGGUCCCAAGGGUAUGGCUGUUCGCCAUUUAAAGUGGUACGCGAGCUGGGUUUAGAACGUCGUGAGACAGUUCGGUCCCUAUCUGCCGUGGGCGCUGGAGAAUUGAGGGGGGCUGCUCCUAGUACGAGAGGACCGGAGUGGACGCAUCACUGGUGUUCGGGUUGUCAUGCCAAUGGCACUGCCCGGUAGCUAAAUGCGGAAGAGAUAAGUGCUGAAAGCAUCUAAGCACGAAACUUGCCCCGAGAUGAGUUCUCCCUGAGACUUUAAGUCUCCUGAAGGAACGUUAAAGACGAUGACGUUGAUAGGCCGGGUGUGUAAGCGCAGCGAUGCGUUGAGCUAACCGGUACUAAUGAACCGUGAGGCUUAACCUU